rnacentral:tRNA from 1 species
AUCAAGUUAGUUUAAAUGAAAAUAUCAGCCUGUGGAUUUGAAGAUAAAAACCAUAUUUUACUUGACC